rnacentral:lncRNA from 1 species
AAAACUAGAGGCUCUCAAGAGCCUGUAUCGCUCACCUGAUUCUACCUGGGUUUUUGAAAUCAUAUAAAAAAAAAAAGAUAAAAUUUGGCUACAAAGUAACAACACUUGGCCAGCACCUCAUUAAGAAAGGAACAUUUAUGCUAUGUUUGGUUUCAUUCCAUUCAGUGGUUCUCUAAAAGAAGUCAUUUGUAUGCAUUUCCCAUAGGGUCCUAUGUUAAACUAAGUCCCCCACUGGCGGCCAUCUUGAAUGAUGGAUCGGCUACAAAGUAACAACACUUGGUCAGCACCUCAUAAGAAACAUUCAUGCCAUGUUUGGUUUCAUUCCAUUCAGUGGUU